rnacentral:lncRNA from 1 species
CUUAGAGGUCACCUUGUCUGGAUACUUCCUUUUACUGCUAGGCAAUAUGGCUUUAUAGUCAGGAUCCUGGACCUCAAGUUUCUGGGCCUCAGUCUCCUUAUCCCUAAAAUAAAGAUAAUAGUGAUACUGACAUAACAGAGGUGUUGUGAAGAUUGAAUGAGAUGAUGCAAGGGAAGCUCUUAGAAGAGCACUGGGCACACAGUAAACAGCCAAUAAAUAUUAGCUGUAAUCAUUGGAGGCCCAGGGGAGAAGGGACUUGCUCAAGAUCACACAGCAACUCAGAGGCAGAGCUGGGGUUAGACCAAGGACGCCUGCCUCCCAGCCUGGGCCCUUUCCCAUUCCACUCUUCCCUCUGUCUUCCUCAGAAAAAGAAAAUAGUCCCAGAGGGAACCAGGAUACUUUUCUCACUGAAUCAUUUAGGAUGCAAGGAAGAGGUCACCUGCUUUAGAGUGGCUUAAACUUUUUAUUUUUUAAUGAGGCCAGAAGAAGUUGGAAUGAGGAUUGGUCUGCUGAUUCAACAAUGUCUUUGAUGACCCAGGCAUUUCCCAUUCUGAGCCUCGAGGGUGACUACCCCUGUGAUUGCAAGAUGACUGAGUGCCAUCAGGAACCAUGUCCUCCCAAGCAGGGAGAAAGGGCAUGGUAGCAAAAAGGGUAUUCUCCCUUCACAUCAUUCUCUUAUCCAGGAGAGAAGCUUUCCCAGCAGACUAUCCCCAAACAUGUCAUUGACUAAGACGAGGUCACAUGUCUACUCUUGGACCACUUUCUGGCAAAGGGGAAGGCAUUUCCAUUGCUGCCUUGGAUCAUCCCUGUGGCUGAGCACCUUGCUACCAGAAUGAAGAAGAGAGCAUUUGCCAUGGGAAGGCAACCAAUACAACCUGCCAUACUCAUCUUCUGUUUUCUCUCUGGAUUGCCCUCCUACCUCCUCUCCAUCUCCGCCAGGAAGUCUUCCCUGGUUGCCAGGGCCUUGUCCGGCACACCCUCUUCUAAUGUAAUUGAACAUUGUUUAAUUCAAGUUACAUUUCACUUUGCCAAAGAUUUCUCACCUUAUCAUGUCCAGAUCUUAUCUUCUCAACCAGGCUGUGAUAGGUCAUUGCAAGAGUUAUAGCAGCGACUAAUGAAUAAGUACCUACUGUGUGUCAGGCACUGGUCUGAGUGCUUGUUGUAGCCAGCUUCCAAAUGGCUCCCAAUGAUCCAUACCCCCUGGUAUUCAUGCCUUUUUGUAUUCCCCUCCCACAUUAUACCAGGGUUUGUCUACAUGACCAAGAGAAUAUGGCAAAAGUUACGGUAUGUUUCUUCCAAUAUUAGAUCAUAAAAGGCACAUGGAAUCAAAGCUUUUGGUCAACUGCCAACAAGGUACAGAGGCCCAACAGCAAUCAUCGAAUGAACUUGGAAGUGGAUCCUCUCACCCCAGUUGAGCCUUCUGAUGACUGCAGCCCUGGCUGAUGCUUGACUACAACUUCAUCAGAAAUCCUCAUGAAGAUCCAGCACCUUCCAGUUAGCCCAUCUAUGAGAAAACCAAUGCUCCGAUGAGUGCAGUGACUUCCCAUGCCUGGUAAGUGGCAGAGCUUGGAUUGACCUUCCUGUCUGUUGGAUUCCAAAGCAGAGGGACCUGGGUUCUGUUUUCCCAGCUGGAAUGUCCCCAGCUGCAGGAUGAAGGCUGAGGAAAUGGGGACAUAAAAAGGAAACCUCUUUCUCUGAUGUGUUUUCUCUCCUCCCCCCUUUUUUCAUCCCAACCACAUUAGUUAGCACUUACUACAUCUAUUGUACAUAUGUGAUUCAGGGACAAGUAGGUUUAUUAGCAACAACAUGGGAGCCUUAGGAGGGGGAUACCUGGGCUCUUGAGUGACCUUGGGCAAGUUUCUGCACUUUUCUGGGCCUCAGUUUCUUUACCUACUACAUGGCAAUAAUAAUCCCUUUCCUGCCUUCUUCACCAGGAAACCAUGAGGACGGGGUGUAAAGGGACUGUGUAAAAUGUGAAAUGUAGUGAACACUAAAAGGUGUGUUUGGACUAAGGAGCACCCCUGACCUAGGGCUCAGACCUGUACAGCCACCUCUGUACAGAGGUGAGGGCUCCCUCUCCUCUCUCACCUGGGGCUAGGUUCGGGAGGUGGACAACACUGAGUGGCAUUGAGAGCAUCAACCCACUUUCUUCAGCCUCACCCUCUCCAUGCCUUCUCUCUUAGGCCAUGCUGCAGCCCUGCUAAACUAGUGGAAAUACCCCAAGCCUGCCAGGAGGUUUCUGUCUACUUUGUCUGUGCAGUUUCUUCUGCCUUGACACCCUUCCCAACUUCUCUUCCUGGUGCAUUCCCACUCGUCUUUCAAGACUGACCUUAGAUAUCCCACUUCUAGGAUGCCUCUCCUGACCUGGCUGUAGUCCUCCUACUUCUCUUGAUUGUUGCACCUGCCCCCUGCCUGAGCUCUUGGCCUUCAGCUUCUCUUUUCCACUCAAAGCCCCCAUGGUGCAACCAGCGGCCUUUCCAAAAUGCAAAUCUUGUCAUGUCACUCCCUGCUUAAAAUAACUGGCCAAUGGAAUAAUCCAUCAAUCAGUGCUUCAGGGGUUCCUCCUUGCCCUCAGGGAAGCAUCCACACCUUCAGCUGGGUCUCCAUGCUUGGUCCCUGCUGGUCUUUCCAGCCUCUGCUCUCUUCUGUCUCCUGAUUGCCCUGCACAUGCAGUGCCCUCCAGCCACAUUGCUCUUGUCACUGUAUCUCAGACACACCUCUCUCUAUCUUUGCUCGUCCUGUUGUUUUUCCUGCCCAUUUCCACCUUGUCCACUUGAGGAAGUCCUGCCUAAUCCUUAACACCAGGUCUGAUAUAACCUCUUGGAAGCCUUCCCUAUUGGCCCCAGGAAGAGUCCUUGGCUUCCUCUUCUUCCCUCUCCUGUAUGACUACUCAUGCUUUUGUUACUGUUUGUCGUCUGUUUACACUGAGAGUUUCCUGAGUAGAGACUGUAUCUGACACAUGGUUGUGUCCCCAGCAAUGCCAGGAGAAGGGCACAGAGCAGACAUGUAGGAUAUGUGUUGCUCAUGUGAGUGGCUGAAUGAAUGAAGGAAGGAAGGGUGAAUGAAUCCAACCUUGAACCAUCACUUCUUGGCCAGCCCUAGAACUGCUGUUUCCCAGGGUAAGCCCAUUUGAUAGCCAAAGGGGAAGUAGAAGGGAGGGACUGCUCUAGGAGGGAGAAAGAAAAUCAAUAAAAAUGUAAAUCUGGUUGAGAAAAGCUGUCCCAAGCUGGCUGUGGGGAGAGAUAAGACUGGGCUGGCUGAGCCCUGGCUGACAGUGGAGGAGAGAUUGGGGACAACGGAGCUGUGGCCAGGGUAGGGCAAAGGAGGUGUGUUCCUCCCUCUGUUGUCACUUCCCCCUCCGACUCUGAUGCUCUAUGUGUUUAUGAAAUUUUUUCAGGGACAGAAGGGGAAGGGAGCUUACAAAUCCUGAUCAUCAGGUGUGGUGCCUGUGAGCAUGUACAUGAUCUUACCCGGUCCUCACAGCUUCUGGGAGAUAGGAGCUAGGCAUGCUCAACCUCACUUGCAGGUGAGCAAACUGAGGUGCAGAGAGGUUAAAUCAUUUGUUCAUCGUCACACUGUAAUAAGUGGCAGAGUCAAGAUUUGAUCCCAAGUCUGACUCUCUCCACAACUCUAUAAUCUUUUCACUCCAUUAAGGGCUUUUGACUGGGGACCUGGGAUGCUUAGGAGGUCUACACCCAGGCAUCAUAUGGUCUUCAACCUCUGAAAUCAUAUGCACAAUUGUGUAUAUGUCUCUGUGUGUGUGUUUUGUUUUAUAUUUAGUGGAGAGUCUAUGCCUUUGAUUGGAUCCCCAGAGGUGGUUUUCACUUGCCCCCCAUUGCCUAUACCAUGUUGCCUUCCUGGAGUUGGUGGCCUUUGAGCUGGGCCUGGAAGAUUGGGUAGGACUUUAUGAAGUGGGGAUGGAGAGACAAGCUGUGCGAUGGGGAUGAAGAAGAUAACCCAGGUCAGAGGGAACAGCAUAAGCAAAGGUAUGUGAAGGGGAAAGAAUUCAACACCUCCAGGCAAUGGUGAGGAUGUCGCUGAGUUCUCUUUCACUUAUCUGCAUGUCAGUCAUGACCCCUGGAUGCCAGCUCCUGAUGGGUCAUCUGCCUACCCUAGAACUUCCCAGCAUCUAGCAUCCCAGACCUUCCCAGAGUCUACAAGAAAAGAAACCUAGGCAUCAGGAUGUCAGUUCUGGUCUGAGUCCUGUCCUCUGCUGACUUUACACCAGCACAAUCUAGCAGGGAGACUUAAUGUCUUCUCCUCCCAGCUUCCUGGUACAGUGUAAGAAAGUAAGCUUGCAGAUGCAAAUGCUUGUGGCUCUUCAUUGACCAGAGGCUAUAUUAGGGGAGAGGACUUCCCUGGGACCCCCACAGGGCCUGGAAAACCCCUCUGGCCCUGACUUGCUCCACCCCUUGGCUCUUGACCCAUUUCUCUCUUGGGUAACUCCUGAGUCUCCUCACCAUGUCCAGUUUGGAAGACUUUAGGCACAAGGACCUCGUCUUUUCCUUCAGAUCUUGGCUCAACCAAGAGGCGGACUCACCGUGAUGUGAAUGCAGCUUGAGCAUCCAGGACUCUCCCCAGAUCCAGGGAGGGCCUCAGCGAUGUGUUCACGUUGUCAUAUUUUUAUAAAAUUUGCAAAGGUAAGAUACUUUAACCACAAUCAAAAUUACUAUUUUCUUCCCACUCCAACUUCCCUUGUGUUUCAAUUUUCCUUUAUGUGGGAUAAUUGGAGUGGCCAUGGGCACUUCUGGGAUCUGACCAAGGGGAAGCUGAGUGGGGGACUGAUUUGAGUUGGGUUCACUGGGAUAUGUUUAUGUGGUUUUCUGAAACAGAGGAUAUAUUAAUAUUUAUGUGGUUCUCUGUGUAUAGAUAAAUCAUUGCUAGUAAUCUCUGUGUAGAGAAUAGCUUCUAGGAAUUCUACCCACUGCCCAGCUCACUUGGCAUGGUGAUAUUAAGUUGCCAUAUGCAGAGGUCAUAUCGUGAUAUGAAUGUGUGUCAUGGCACCCAGCCCAGGAAGUAUAUGGGCAGUAGACAAGAAACAGGAGAAACCAGGUUUGAAAUGUACAGAGCCAGAAGCUAGUCUGUGGAAAAUUCUUCUAAUCAUCAGGGGGAGAAAAUGUGUCUCAGAGGUUAAGCAGGGCAGUUAAUAAAAGUAUUACGCAUUUUGGGGGGAUUGUGUGAUGUAUCUGUUUUGAUUUCUUUUCUCAUUAUAGGUAAAUAUAGGUACCUUGUACCUAAUUUUAUAUUCAUAAUUUUGUAUAUUUUUCUUAAAGAGGGCUCCUCAAAUUAUAAAACCUUCAGUUCCCACAAGGUCUACACAUCCAACCUUGGCUCCAUCAUUUAUUUUCUGUGUGAUCUUGGGGAAGUCACUUGUGCUUUCUGAGCCAGUUUCCUCUUCUAUAAAAUGUGAA